rnacentral:rRNA from 1 species
GCGAACGCUGGCGGCAGGCCUAAUACAUGCAAGUCGAACGGUCUCUUCGGAGGCAGUGGCGGACGGGUGAGUAACGCGUGGGAAUAUGCCCUUUGGUACGGAACAACUGAGGGAAACUUCAGCUAAUACCGUAUGUGCCCUUCGGGGGAAAGAUUUAUCGCCAUUGGAGUAGCCCGCGUUGGAUUAGGUAGUUGGUGGGGUAAAGGCCUACCAAGCCUACGAUCCAUAGCUGGUCUGAGAGGAUGAUCAGCCACACUGGGACUGAGACACGGCCCAGACUCCUACGGGAGGCAGCAGUAGGGAAUCUUGCGCAAUGGGCGAAAGCCUGACGCAGCCAUGCCGCGUGAAUGAUGAAGGUCUUAGGAUUGUAAAAUUCUUUCACCGGGGAAGAUAAUGACGGUACCCGGAGAAGAAGCCCCGGCUAACUUCGU